GACGAACGCUGGCGGCGUGCCUAAUACAUGCCAGUUGAGCGCUGAAGGUUGGUACUUGUACCAACUGGAUGAGCAGCGAACGGGUGAGUAACGCGUGGGGAAUCUGCCUUUGAGCGGGGGACAACAUUUGGAAACGAAUGCUAAUACCGCAUAAAAACUUUAAACACAAGUUUUAAGUUUGAAAGAUGCAAUUGCAUCACUCAAAGAUGAUCCCGCGUUGUAUUAGCUAGUUGGUGAGGUAAAGGCUCACCAAGGCGAUGAUACAUAGCCGACCUGAGAGGGUGAUCGGCCACAUUGGGACUGAGACACGGCCCAAACCCCUACGGGAGGCAGCAGUAGGGAAUCUUCGGCAAUGGACGAAAGUCUGACCGAGCAACGCCGCGUGAGUGAAGAAGGUUUUCGGAUCGUAAAACUCUGUUGGUAGAGAAGAACGUUGGUGAGAGUGGAAAGCUCAUCAAGUGACGGUAACUACCCAGAAAGGGACGGCUAACUACGUG
rnacentral:rRNA from 1 species